AGAACGAACGCUGGCGGCAGGCUUAACACAUGCAAGUCGAGCGCCCCGCAAGGGGAGCGGCAGACGGGUGAGUAACGCGUGGGAACAUACCCUCCGGUUCGGAAUAACUCAGGGAAACUUGAGCUAAUACCGGAUACGGUCGAGAGGCGAAAGAUUUAUCGCCGGAGGAUUGGCCCGCGUCCGAUUAGCUAGUUGGUGUGGUAAUGGCGCACCAAGGCGACGAUCGGUAGCUGGUCUGAGAGGAUGAUCAGCCACAUUGGGACUGAGACACGGCCCAAACUCCUACGGGAGGCAGCAGUGGGGAAUAUUGGACAAUGGGCGCAAGCCUGAUCCAGCCAUGCCGCGUGAGUGAUGAAGGCCCUAGGGUUGUAAAGCUCUUUUGUGCGGGAAGAUAAUGACGGUACCGCAAGAAUAAGCCCCGGCUAACUUCGUGCCAGCAGCCGC
rnacentral:rRNA from 1 species